UUACGGCCACGUCACGUUGAAACACCAGUACCCGGACGAUCACCGAAGUUAAGCAACAUCGAGACUGGUCAGUAUAUAGAUGGGUGACUGCUUGGGAAUACCAGAUGCUGUAAG